UCGGAUCAGAGAUGGAGGCUUUAAUCACAAAUCUUGCUUCAGGAAAACGGCGUACCUACAUUGUCAUCAUUGUGAUCUUUACCAUUUCUGUUUUAUUUAGCGGCAACUUUGAAUGCACUUGCAAAUCACAAGCAUCUGACUGCAGCAUUUACAUGUUUCUGCCUUCUAUAAUAAUAUUUCUCUUAAUGCUGUGGACCAGCAACUCCUUUCAGAGAGUCUCUAGAUUCACAUGUGAUGGUACAUGUGGCUCUAAAUGCUGCAGGUUUUGCGGUUCGUUUAUCCGUCGCUUUUUAAAGGCAUCUUUGGUUAGUGUGCUGUGGGCUGCGUAUCUGUUUUUCCGUGGAGACUGGUAUGUCUGCUGUAUGAGCCGUCUCUCUAACAGAACAGACGAGGCACAGUUGCCCUGCAAAGACAAGUGGAAGCUCACUAUUGAGGAGCGACUACGCAUCACUGAGCUGAACAACGAGUCCAGGAGAGUUGGCUACUUUUUUGCUCAUGUUUGUCAAUGGAGCAACAGCACUGAUAUCAUUAAUUAACUGGAGAAAAUGCUGUAAAAAAAUAUCAAGUCGCUUUGACAGAAGAAAAACUUAUUACAAACUGAUUUUGGAGGAGGAGGGCAUGGUGCGGAAAGAACUUCUAAGGAAAAAGGCAAAAAAUAAUGUGACUGAUUUCCUGAAGACAAUGAUUGAGGAAGGACAAUGGGAAAAAUGUUUCAAUGUUGCAGAAGAACUGAUUAAAAGGGAAGAGAACUCACUUUUUGAACUGGAGGAGGCCAGAACAGUUCAGUUUCAGCACCUUCAGUCAUCUGACUCAGAACAAAGGCUACUGGAGAUUUGUGAAGGCUGACCACUUGAAUCCAAAUGCAUUAAGAACAGCGUUUUUUUGUUUUUUUCUUAAUUUACGUCCCUGCUUUUUAUAUUUGUAUUACAGAAGCAAGGAAGUUACGUUUUUACAGUUCAUAUGUUUGUACUUCUACUUAAGCAGAGAAUAUCUGUACUUGCACCACUUCAGGUGUUAGCAGCCAGAUGGCAGACUGGUGAAAUGCCCAGGGUGUUGGGUAACCUGUCUCCCACCUUGUGACAGUAAGAAUAGGAUCCAGACCAAUUAAGAUGCUGAAUUAGAUAAAUAGAAUAAAAUGGAUAAAUUUAUUUGCAGUAGCAGUUACAGAAGACUUUUUGAAAAAAAAAUGUAAAUACUUCUUUUUUUUUUCUUCUUCUUCUUAGUUUUCUCAUUAGGGCAUUCUUGCUGAAAGUGUGGUCGCAAAUUUUGAAGCCGUCAUGAUAAGCUUAUCCCACCAAUGAUGUGGAUCCAACUUUUUUUUUAGAUCCAAAUAAAAUCAUUGCACUCAAAAAGAUCCUCUGGAAAAGAGUAGAAUUCUUGGAACAGAGUUUAAUACACUAUUAAUAUGAGCAGUAAGAAAAUGCAUACAGAGAAUGGUGAGGCGAUACACAGCAGAAAGCAAGCGAAGCAAAACCCUGGGGUAUACAGCCUUAAGCACAGACAACAGAGAUGGACAGAAAGCAGCA